CUACGGGUUGCAGCAGUGAGGAAUAUUGCACAAUGGGGGGAACCCUGAUGCAGCAACGCCGCGUGGAGGAUGACACAUUUCGGUGCGUAAACUCCUUUUAUAUAAGAAGAUAAUGACGGUAUUAUAUGAAUAAGCACCGGCUAACUCCGUGCCAGCAGCCGCGGUAAUACGGGGGGUGCAAGCGUUACUCGGAAUCACUGGGCGUAAAGAGCAUGUAGGCUGGUUAGUAAGUUGGAAGUGAAAUCCUAUGGCUUAACCAUAGAACUGCUUCCAAAACUACUAACCUAGAAUAUGGGAGAGGUAGAUGGAAUUUCUGGUGUAGGGGUAAAAUCCGUAGAGAUCAGAAGGAAUACCGAUUGCGAAGGCGAUCUACUGGAACAUUAUUGACGCUCAGAUGCGAAAGCGUGGGGAGCAAACAGGAUUAGAUACCCUCGUAGUC
rnacentral:rRNA from 1 species